rnacentral:rRNA from 1 species
GAUGAACGCUGACAGAAUGCUUAACACAUGCAAGUCAACUUGAACUUCGGUUUGGGUGGCGGACGGGUGAGUAACGCGUAAAGAACUUGCCUCACAGUUAGGGACAACAUUUGGAAACGAAUGCUAAUACCUGAUAUUAUGAUUUUAGGGCAUCCUAGAAUUAUGAAAGCUAUAUGCGCUGUGAGAGAGCUUUGCGUCCCAUUAGCUAGUUGGAGAGGUAACGGCUCACCAAGGCGAUGAUGGGUAGCCGGCCUGAGAGGGUGAACGGCCACAAGGGGACUGAGACACGGCCCUUACUCCUACGGGAGGCAGCAGUGGGGAAUAUUGGACAAUGGACCAAGAGUCUGAUCCAGCAAUUCUGUGUGCACGAUGAAGUUUUUCGGAAUGUAAAGUGCUUUCAGUUGGGAAGAAAAAAAUGACGGUACCAACAGAAGAAGAGACGGCUAAAUACGUG